CUGGUGAAAAAGUAAAAAAGUUGCUUGAUUUAAAAAAAAAAAUUAUUCAUUUAAACUUGGGAUUGGAGUGCAACACAAUCUAAUUGAUUUCAACACAAUAGAAUCUUUUUUUUUUAGGUACAAAAAACAUUGUGUCAUUCAUUCCCUAAAGUUGUUUUAUUUUAGAUUGAACUUACCCCACUCGUAAUGUGUGGGUUAGCAGAUAAUAAAGGCGAUUGUUGACACAUAUAUGUGGAAACACCAGAUCUAUGGCUGAAUAGAAGUAACAACCCUAUAUUGUAUGUGCAUUAAUAUUGUAUUGUACAUCAGCUGAGAACAAAUAUUAGCUUCUAUGUCUCUUAGACUACACGUAAAAUUGAACAUAUUCAAAAUUGUUGAAGUAAAAAGUGUCUCAUAAUAUUUAGCUAAUCAGUGUUAUUUUUUCAGGUAAGGAAGAAGUAUAUGUUGGCUGAUCUCAUUCCUUCAUGAAUUGAAUGUAAAAGAUCAGAAAACAGUACACUUUCACCUCAGUAAAGUAAAGAAAAAUUGGUGAUGUCACGAGUGAAACAAAAUAGUGUGUAAGUUAUACAAUCUUUUUCGUAGUUUUUUAAUUAUUAAUUUAAUUUGACGAAUCUUUAGUUUAAAUUGUAACAAACCCACGUGAGCAUGCAAUGUAAUGAGUGGUCUAUAUGCUGGGUGUUGAUCCUGGUUUUCCUAAACAAGGUUGAUAAUCAGCGUCUAAAUUCAGGGUUACACCACACGUAUGCAUAGGCGUAUUCAAGGGGAAUGGGGUUUUGGGGUUGUACCCCUUCCAUUGAAACUCAUAUGUAAGGUAUAUUUUAACUUGCGGUAAACUAAAAGUAUACUUGUAAUCGAACAAUGUAACAUAGUUCAUUUUUGUUUUAAUUUGUUUGAUAUUUUAACGAUAACAGCUAACGUACAGUAAAUUACAAGACUCGUGCUUUGUAAGUUUUCGGAAUGACGAGUCCGUCUGCUACCUGUGGGGGAUGACUGACAAACAAUACAGACCUCACUUCCCGCGCUUCCUUAAAGGGAGAUAGUGAUCAACUACAAAAACUGUACUGAUUGUGAAUCUGAAGGUGCAGAGUCUGAAACUGUUAACCAAGUACCGAUACUCGUAAUUAAUCUUAUUUUACAAGUAGAGCUAGUUAUGUGUUACUGAGACUGAAGUUUCAAAUUCAGAUAGGAUACUCAAUACUUCCACGAUUUCCUUUUUUUUUACUUGAAAUAGGAGAUAAAACUCUGAUUUUGAUAUAUUGGAUCCACAUUUUUUGGGGAGAUUUGACCAAUGAUCUAAAAGGAUAAUAUUAUUAAAAAACCUGCUACUACAAUUGUCCAAAAAAAUCUGACUGUGAAUUUUUCCAAUCUAAGCGUAUUUAUCAAAAUAAGACCAGGUAUGCCAACAAUGUUAUGUUAUUUACUAGUUUACGAAGUGGACAACUACAGAAGAGAGAUGUUGUUCGUUUUCCGUCCCGUGCUUGCUUUUUCAUACACGUACUUCUGAAAAUGCAUUUUCUAGGUUUUAUAACGAUAGGAAAAAAUUACUCAUAGGUUUGAAAGGAUGAAAACAGUUCUGAAAAAGGAUUAACACACAUUCUUAGUUAUGAGAAACAUGUAGUUACUUGGUAAGAUCGUGUAAAUGUAUGAAGUAGACGAUUUAGGGAAAGGUUUUAUCUAGAGUUGUUCACAUAAUUAAACUUCUUGAUGCUCGUGGAUUGGCCUUUCGGGGCUCUGAAAACGAGUUCUUUGGAUCAUAAGCUAAUAGCAACUUAUUGGGGAUUCUUGAGUUGAUAUCUGAAUACGAUAUAGUACACCUAUGUACCAAAUAAUGACAAGUUAUUUGUCAAAUACAACGUGAAGAAAGCAAUACCAUACGAUAAGUGUUGAUUCAACGCCCGACAUUACUCACCGUGACCAAUUAACCUUUAUUGUGCGCUAUACCUUAAGUAAUGAUUGUGCUGUAGAAUUAUUCUUAUGUUCUUAAUGAUAGAAAUCCACACUGGCGCUGAAAUACAUGACUUGGAAGUUACACUACUUGUGUUAUUGUUUCAUAUACUGGAACGGUUUAAUGGAGCAACGAGAAGGGUGCAAAACAUCAACACUUACCUUGGAGUUUAUACAGAUCCUUCAAAUAAUAUGUACAAGGUUAUCGAGAAAGGUUUGAUCAUUAUGAGAUAAAAGGCACGGAGCUGGGAAAAAGCAAGGUUGCCGUCUAUGAUCUAGACUAAGGUCAAAUGAGAGAAAACCCUUUCAGGACAUGACGAAUAUGAUAAUGAUGUCGCCAGACUCGACGGGACACAUGACACGACUGUUAAUAAACUUUGUGUCAUAGUCACAUUUAUUUUAAUCUAGACAACAGAUCAAAAAUUAAUUUCGAGCGCACGGAAGUCUUCAGUAUUUUAUACAACUAGUUUACUUUGGGUUAGAGAUUCCGUUUGGAUACAAACGUAUUCCGCAGGAUUUUGAUUGAUUUUUCACGAAACUCUGGGUAAGUUUUUGUGUGUGGAGGGUCGUAAAUUUCUUUGGGCCUAGGGGCCCGGGCCCAAGAAAGUGAAAUACGCCACUGAGUAGGGCAACAGAUAAAACGAUUAGUCAAGAUAAAUAAUUGCAGAAUUGUCUCUUAUCUAGAAAGACAAACGGCGUGAACUAAUGGCAUCGACCACCUGAUACAUCACUUAGAAAUACUGUCAACACAAAAAAGUGGCGUUGUAAUUAUACCACUACGUCGCGUCGUGGUGAGUUGGGAAACUGAGUGAUAACAUGUGAAACUGUGCUGAAGGAUUUAAGAAUUCAAAAUGUGUCCUGUAGUUUCUGUAGCCUAUACGGCAAAUUCAAUUAUGUAUCUGUAAACGUGAAGCAUGAAAUGUGACAAUAUUGAUGAUAAGAAAAUUGUGUAAAUGAAUGACCACUUCAAUAAAACUUGGUUAAACUCUUCAAUAAGUAAUGUGGUUGUGGAGUAAAUGAUUUUUUAGAUCUCAUCCAGCAAAACACGUCGCUAGUUCAUGUAUUCUUUAAUAAUGUUGUUAACAGUUAAUUGUAUCGAGUAUCGCAAAAUGUAGGUAGUAGGGCUGCCAUUAUAUCCGAGACCACUGACGUCUCUGCCAAACCAACUCUCAACUUUGUAAUUUUCUAUACGUUAAAGUUGGAACUCGGCUGUCAGACUUGAACGACUUCCCCAGCGUCGUGAGCCGUGGCAGGAACAUUUCUUAGAUGUGACAACCACUCACUUGAAACCUAAGUUCUUGUUUAUUCUCAAAUAACUACUAUUACUAAAGUUAAAA